rnacentral:rRNA from 1 species
UACAUAGGUCUCAAGCGUUGUUCGGAUUUAUUGGGCGUAAAGGGUUCGUAGGUGGUGCGGUAAGUCGGGUGUGAAAUCUCGGAGCUUAACUCCGAAAUUGCAUUCGAUACUGCCGUGCUUGAGGACUGGAGAGGAGACUGGAAUUUACGGUGUAGCAGUGAAAUGCGUAGAGAUCGUAAGGAAGACCAGUGGCGAAGGCGGGUCUCUGGACAGUUCCUGACACUGAGGCACGAAAGCCAGGGGAGCAAACGGG